UUUUAUGGAGAGUUUGAUCCUGGCUCAGGAUGAACGCUGGCGGCGUGCCUAAUACAUGCAAGUCGAGCGAACGGACGAGAAGCUUGCUUCUCUGAUGUUAGCGGCGGACGGGUGAGUAACACGUGGAUAACCUACCUAUAAGACUGGGAUAACUUCGGGAAACCGGAGCUAAUACCGGAUAAUAUUUUGAACCGCAUGGUUCAAAAGUAAAAGACGGUCUUGCUGUCACUUAUAGAUGGAUCCGCGCUGCAUUAGCUAGUUGGUAAGGUAACGGCUUACCAAGGCAACGAUGCAUAGCCGACCUGAGAGGGUGAUCGGCCACACUGGAACUGAGACACGGUCCAGACUCCUACGGGAGGCAGCAGUAGGGAAUCUUCCGCAAUGGGCGAAAGCCUGACGGAGCAACGCCGCGUGAGUGAUGAAGGUCUUCGGAUCGUAAAACUCUGUUAUUAGGGAAGAACAUAUGUGUAAGUAACUGUGCACAUCUUGACGGUACCUAAUCAGAAAGCCACGGCUAACUACGUGCCAGCAGCCGCGGUAAUACGUAGGUGGCAAGCGUUAUCCGGAAUUAUUGGGCGUAAAGCGCGCGUAGGCGGUUUUUUAAGUCUGAUGUGAAAGCCMACGGCUCAACCGUGGAGGGKCAUUGGAAACUGGAAAACUUGAGUGCAGAAGAGGAAAGUGGAAUUCCAUGUGUAGCGGKGAAAUGCGCAGAGAUAUGGAGGAACACCAGUGGCGAAGGCGACUUUCUGGUCUGUAACUGACGCUGAUGUGCGAAAGCGUGGGGAUCAAA
rnacentral:rRNA from 1 species